rnacentral:rRNA from 1 species
ACGUAGGGUGCGAGCGUUAAUCGGAAUUACUGGGCGUAAAGCGUGCGCAGGUGGUUUUGUAAGUCAGAUGUGAAAGCCCCGGGCUCAACCUGGGAACUGCGUUUGAAACUACAAGACUAGAGUGUGGCAGAGGGGGGUGGAAUUCCGCGUGUAGCAGUGAAAUGCGUAGAGAUGUGGAGGAACACCGAUGGCGAAGGCAGCCCCCUGGGUCAACACUGACGCUCAGGCACGAAAGCAUGGGGAGCAAACAGG